UACGGAGGGUGCAAGCGUUAAUCGGAAUUACUGGGCGUAAAGCGUGCGCAGGCGGUUCUCCAAGUCCGUUGUGAAAGCCCCGGGCUCAACCUGGGAACUGCGUUUAAGACUGCAAAACUAGAGUACUGUAGAGGAUAGUGGAAUUUCCAGUGUAGCGGUGAAAUGCGUAGAUAUUGGAAGGAACACCAGUGGCGAAGGCGACUAUCUGGACAGAUACUGACACUGAGACACGAAAGCAUGGGGAGCAAACAGG
rnacentral:rRNA from 1 species